GCUCCAUUAGCUCAGUUGGUUUAGAGCUUCGUGCUUAUAGUUUACAAGACUAUGUUUGAGUCACGCGGAGGUCGCCAGUUCGAUCCUGGCAUGGAGCA